GUAGAGCUACGUCUCGCCAACGGCUUCUACGAACUGUGCCCGGCGCCAGAGGACGAAGCUGCAGCAGAGCUCCCACCUCCAGAAGCCGAAGCCGUCCAAGCAGAAGAGCAGCUUCCCUCCUCCUUGUUCGAAGGCAAGACCCGGAUGCAUGAAUCCCCCUGUGUUUUACCAAACUUGCGCAUGCCUUCUUUAUCAUGCUUGUGCAUUUACGUAUAGG
rnacentral:lncRNA from 1 species